AUUGAACGCUGGCGGCAUGCCUUACACAUGCAAGUCGAACGGUAACAGGUCUUCGGAUGCUGACGAGUGGCGAACGGGUGAGUAAUACAUCGGAACGUGCCUAGUAGUGGGGGAUAACUACUCGAAGGAGUGGCUAAUACCGCAUGAGAUCUACGGAUGAAAGCAGGGGAUCGCAAGACCUUGUGCUACUAGAGCGGCCGAUGGCAGAUUAGGUAGUUGGUGGGAUAAAAGCUUACCAAGCCGACGAUCUGUAGCUGGUCUGAGAGGACGAUCAGCAACACUGGGACUGAGACACGGCCCAGACUCCUGCGGGAGGCAGCAGUGGGGAAUUUUGGACAAUGGGCGCAAGCCUGAUCCAGCAAUGCCGCGUGCAGGAUGAAGGCGUUCGGGUUGUAAACUGCUUUUGUACGGAACGAAAAGCCCCGGGUUAAUACCCUGGGGUCAUGACGGUACCGUAAGAAUAAGCACCGGCUAACUACGUGCCAGCCGCCGCCGUAA
rnacentral:rRNA from 1 species